rnacentral:rRNA from 1 species
AACCCUUUGUGAACUUAUACCUACAUCGUUGCCUCGGCGCUGGCUGCCUCUCCCCUCGGGGAGGGGGCCCUGCUCCUCUGGUGGUCAAACACCCUGGGAGAAGGACAGCAGGCCCGCCGGUGGCCCAUUAAACUCUUGUAUUUACCGAGUAACAUCUGAGUAAAGCUUCUAAAUAAAUUAAAACUUUCAACAACGGAUCUCUUGGUUCUGGCAUCGAUGAAGAACGCAGCGAAAUGCGAUAAGUAAUGUGAAUUGCAGAAUUCAGUGAAUCAUCGAAUCUUUGAACGCACAUUGCGCCCUCUGGUAUUCCAGAGGGCAUGCCUGUUCGAGCGUCAUUUCAACCCUCAAGCCUGGCUUGGUGUUGGGGCAUUACCUUCCCUCCGGGAGGGUAAGCCCUGAAAUUCAGUGGCGAGCUCGCCAGGACUCCGAGCGUAGUAGUAAAACCCUCGCUUUGGACUGUACUGGCGCGGCCCUGCCGUAAAACCCCCAAC